GGCAGAUGCUUAAUGACUGAGCCAUCCAGGUGCCCUGACACCUGCCUUUCAGAAGGACUCCUUACAGCCCACUGGGGUGGUGGUUGAGGGAAACCCUGGGGGUCUGAGCUCAACUCUGAGCUCCACUUCCCAACUACCUUCUUCUGUUGGCUUGUUCCUUCAUUGACAGAGCAGCUGGGAACACCUGAAUCCUGGAAGAGGUUCAUGUAGGAGUAUCCUUUGGUUUCAAGUUGGCUAGAAAUACAAGAGACACAGAAAAGACAAAAACAGAAAGCAUAAAGAUAUAGGGAUGUCAAGGAGGGAAGCAGUCUAAGGCAGGAUUUGAAUAGGGAAUGGAGGACCAGAGAGACCCAGAGAAUCCUCUCUGUCUCCCCACUUCAGUGUUUACAGUGAAAGAUAAAUCCAGAACUAAGGUCACACAUUUCACUCUCUUAUGCUUUGGACAUAGCACUGGCAGGAUGGUUUGGCUCAUAUCUGCAGGGCCAACCAUAUGUUGGCAGAGUCAAGGUUAUGAACAUAAGGUCAUCUGUGGCACAUCUUGUGCCAAUGUAAUGAGGUGUGAUCUAUUCAGAUGUUGCAAAAAGCAGUUUUAUCUCUACUGGUGAAAAGUAAAAACCCCAGAGGGGUAGGAAUUGAUAGCCACACAAUCCCAAGCACCCAAAAUUAUUCUGUACAGUGUCUCAAUAGACUUUUGGGUUGGCAUGUCCUUGGUAGUCCUCCUUGAGAAGAAUCUAGCCACACUGCUCUACUCCAGGAGAAGCUGACCUGGGCUUGAUGUCAGUUCCUUAGAGCUCUGGUUAGACCAGAACAGAAUUGUGAUGACCUAGAAUUCUAGGUCCAUUUAAACCAGGAACAGUCUCCAAGAAGGUAAACCUGUAGUUUACCUUCUAACCACCAAGAAUUAUUAAGACUCCCCAGACUUUCUAAAGAGAAUUCAGUCUGUUACAGAUUCAUGAGUUGAAGAUGGGGCCCAAGUCUCAGUCUGUUACCCAGCCUCUAACAAGUAAGACAUCUUGAGCAUGAAACCCACCCAGAUACAGCCUCCCAAGAUCAAGACUUCCAAACUCAGAAACACCUGGGGAAAAUCCUUCUUAAUUGAGUAUUUGGACAUAUCGAGCAACUAGAAGUACAGGAGUAUAUUGCCAUGCCAAAGAGUAUGGAAGCAAGUUGGACCAAUUUUCCUGAUGCCAGAUGGCUCAGCAGACUUUUCAGAUGUUGCUACUCUGUUGUACAUACUGGCUUCAGUUGCUCCACACCCCAAAAGUACAUCCAGCUAGAAAGCACAUGAAAAGGUCAUUAUUUCAUGGAUUCCUCAGGCAAAACUUCCUCCAUGAAGAAGGAGUUUGACCCUUCCCCAGACUGAGAAGAGGGAGUGUUCCUUCAUUUUUGCCACGCUGGCUGCAGAAGAUCGGGUAGAGGGCUCCAUGACCCCAGCAGAUGUUAGAGCCACCAGAUGAACGAAAUCUCUGUGAAGGACUGUAAGGAUCAGACCCCUUGCCAUCUCCAUGGGACUAUGAUAUGAAAUAGGAGAAAACAAUGAAGAAGAGUAUCUUAGUUUCUGACACAAAGAAGAAGAUGCAGAUCUGUGGUUGGAAUGCUUGGGAUUUAAUUCCGAGGUGACACUUGAUCAAAUGUUCAGCACAGUUAGCCCUCGGACUUCCAGUACUAUACUGAACAACAGUGAUGGGAGUG